CAGUCGCCGCGGGAAUACGAGGGGGGCAAGCGUUGUUCGGAAUUAUUGGGCGUAAAGGGCGCGUAGGCGGUUUGGCAAGUUUGGUGUGAAAUCUUCGGGCUCAACUCGAAGUCUGCACCGAAAACUGCCGGGCUUGAGUAUGGGAGAGGUGAGUGGAAUUUCCGGUGUAGCGGUGAAAUGCGUAGAUAUCGGAAGGAACACCUGUGGCGAAAGCGGCUCACUGGACCAUUACUGACGCUGAGGCGCGAAAGCUAGGGGAGCAAACAGGAUUAGAUACCCCCGUAGUCCCUGUCUCUUAUAC
rnacentral:rRNA from 1 species